AGAGUUUGAUCCUGGCUCAGAGCGAACGCUGGCGGCGUGCUUAACACAUGCAAGUCGAACGCGCAGCAUUCUGUAGCAAUACAGGGUGUGGGCGCGUGGCGAACGGGUGCGUAACACGUGGAUAACCUUCCUUCAGGUGGGGAAUAACCCAGUGAAAACUGGGCUAAUACCGCAUAACAUGACGAUGGCACAUGCUGUUGUCUUCAAAGGCGCAAGUCGCCAGAAGAGGGAUCCGCGGCCGAUUAGCUUGUUGGCGAGGUAAUGGCUCACCAAGGCAUUGAUCGGUAGCCGGACUGAGAGGUUGGCCGGCCACACUGGAACUGAGACACGGUCCAGACUCCUACGGGAGGCAGCAGUGGGGAAUCUUGCACAAUGGACGAAAGUCUGAUGCAGCAACGCCGCGUGGGGGAUGAAGCUUUUCGGAGUGUAAACCCCUUUCGACCCG
rnacentral:rRNA from 1 species